AAGGGAGACCUAAUUCAGGUAGGAGACGAAAAAAAAGUAGUCCCUACCAAGAAUCAAUCCCAAAAGGUCGGAGCGAGGCAGAAUUGGCUUUCAAACUAGGUUCUGGGUUCACACAAGACCUGAAUCAGGAACAAGGGCUAUUAGCUCAGGUGGUUAGAGCGCACCCCUGAUAAGGGUGAGGUCCCUGGUUCGAGUCCAGGAUGGCCCACCUGUACAGGUGGCAAAAACAAAGAAAAGAAGCGAGGAAUCAGCACCUUAUCUUACUUAUAUAGUAAGAGAGAAUGCUGGCUCUGAGUUCAGAGUCCAGAGGAACCUUGAAAACUGCAUAGAGCUAGGUGAAAAAGCCAAAAAAGAAGACCACAA
rnacentral:tRNA from 1 species